rnacentral:lncRNA from 1 species
CGCCAUUGCGCGUUCUUGAAACGAGCGCGACGGUGACAUUGCGGUGUGCGGCCUCUCGGACGAGAAGACUGGGCUUACGUUGGAUGCAAGUUAUUGUCGUCCGGCAAGGUUUUAAAAAGUGAUGUUAUAGCUACUGGACAUUGAAGCGAUUGAAGACCAGAAAGCCUUAGUGCGACCGGCUUGAUUCAGAUUACUCCCCGAGAGCGACACUCGUUAAGGAUGCGAGUAUUUGAAGUUCCGCUUUCAAGCAUUGGACGGCCUGCAAAUUACCGUUGGAGCCAAACUGUAUACAUUUUCUAGAUGAUCUUAAAUACGGAGCGGUAUUCUAAAGAUGUAGUUGUGCAGUGUGUAGUUCGUAGAUUACGAAACAACGGAGCGAGAAUACAGUUGGCGUUCCGUUUUGGGUCAGUUACUUUGUUUUCCUUUUUCCAUGUUUUAAAGUCGCUGUGCUUUAUGCUCAGGAUCGAAGCAAAAUGUACAGGAGUAGGCUGCGAUGUGAUGCGUGUUGUAUAAAACCAAUAAACCAAAAAUGGCA